rnacentral:tRNA from 1 species
AAGCCGGAAUAGCUCAGUUGGUAGAGCAGAGGCUGAAAACCNCGUGUCACCAGUU